rnacentral:rRNA from 1 species
UAGUCCACGCCGUAAACGAUGGUUACUAGCUGUUCGGACUUCGGUCUGAGCGGCUAAGCGAAAGUGAUAAGUAACCCACCUGGGGAGUACGUUCGCAAGAAUGAAACUCAAAGGAAUUGACGGGGGCCCGCACAAGCGGUGGAGCAUGUGGUUUAAUUCGAUGAUACGCGAGGAACCUUACCAGGGCUUAAAUGUAGUCUGACAGCUUUAGAGAUAGAGUUUUCUUCGGACAGAUUACAAGGUGCUGCAUGGUUGUCGUCAGCCCGUGCCGUGAGGUGUCAGGUUAAGUCCUAUAACGAGCGCAACCCCUGUUGUUAGUUGCCAGCGAGUAAUGUCGGGAACUCUAGCAAGACUGCCGGUGCAAACCGCGAGGAAGGUGGGGAUGACGUCAAAUCAUCAUGGCCUUUAUGCCUAGGGCGACACACGUGCUACAAUGGUAGGUACAGAGGGUAGCGAAGCGGCGACGUGGAGCCAAUCCCAGAAAGCCUAUCCCAGUUCGGAUUGGAGUCUGCAA